UACGAAGGGGGGCUAGCGUUGCCCGGAAUCACUGGGCGUAAAGGGUGCGUAGGCGGGUUUUUAAGUCAGGGGUGAAAUCCUGGAGCUCAACUCCAGAACUGCCUUUGAUACUGAAGAUCUCGAGUCCGGGAGAGGUGAGUGGAACUGCGAGUGUAGAGGUGAAAUUCGUAGAUAUUCGCAAGAACACCAGUGGCGAAGGCGGCUCACUGGCCCGAUACUGACGCUGAGGCACGAAAGCGUGGGGAGCAAACAGG
rnacentral:rRNA from 1 species